rnacentral:lncRNA from 1 species
AAUACCACACUUUUGAAAACAAUUUUUAUAUUUAAAAUAUAAUAUUCAAAGAGUGGGGAAUAACUAUUUCAAGAAUUUUUUUUAAUUUAUUUUAAAUUACAGUCUUUAGAUUGAAUUUAGUUUAAUGAUUAAUUAUUAUUUUUAUUUAAUUAAUUAUUGAAUUAGAUUUAAUUAAAAAGUUGUGAUUUAGAAUAAGCUAAAAAUAUUUACUAUUAGAAUAAAUUGAUCUCCAUUCUUAUUCAAAAUAUUACAUUUUAGUUUUUUUUUUAUUUAUUCAAAUGGAUUUGAACACUGAAUGCCGAUCCAGUAUUGGUGUUCUUUGUUUUUCUUUUUUAUCAUUUAUCUAUAGUUUUUGAAC